rnacentral:rRNA from 1 species
GACCCGACUGCUAUUUGGGUGAGGAUAAGCCAUGCGAGUUGAAUGGGAUACCUAAAUUUCCCAUGGCAAACUGCUCAGUAACACAUGAUCAACUUACCCUAUAGAGAAAAAUAACCUCGGGAAACUGAGGAUAAUAUUUCAUAGUUGAAUAGGCUUGGAAAAGUUUUUCAAUUAAAGGGAUAAAAAAAAUGGUUUUUAUCUGCUAUAGGAUAGGAUCGUGGACGAUUAUGGUUGUUGGUGAGGUAACGGCUCACCAAGCCGAUAAUCGAUAGGGGCCGUGAGAGCGGGAGCCCCGAGAUGGGUACUGAGACAACGACCCAGGCCUUACGAGGCGCAGCAGGCGCGGAACCUCCGCAAUACACGAAAGUGUGACGGGGUUACCCAAAGUGUUCAAUUCUGAACUGUGGUAGGUGAGUAAUGUUCCCUACUAGAAAGGAGAGGGCAAGGCUGGUGCCAGCCGCCGCGGUAAAACCAGCUCUUCAAGUGGUCGGGAUAAUUAUUGGGCUUAAAGUGUCCGUAGCCGGUUUAGUAAGUUCCUGGUAAAAUCGGGUAGCUUAGCUAUCUGUAUGCUAGGAAUACUGCUAUACUAGAGGGCGGGAGAGGUCUGAGGUACUACAGGGGUAGGGGUGAAAUCUUAUAAUCCUUGUAGGACCACCAGUGGCGAANGCGUCAGACUGGAACGCGCCUGACGGUGAGGGACGAAAGCCAGGGGAGCGAACCGGAUUAGAUACCCGGGUAGUCCUGGCCGUAAACGAUGCAUACUA